rnacentral:miRNA from 1 species
GAUAAGCGAUAUUCUAGUAUC